AUUGAACGCUGGCGGCAGGCUUAACACAUGCAAGUCGAACGAUGACUCUCUAGCUUGCUAGAGAAGAUUAGUGGCGGACGGGUGAGUAACAUUUAGGAAUCUGCCUAGUAGUGGGGGAUAGCUCGGGGAAACUCGAAUUAAUACCGCAUACGACCUACGGGUGAAAGGGGGCGCAAGCUCUUGCUAUUAGAUGAGCCUAAAUCAGAUUAGCUAGUUGGUGGGGUAAAGGCCCACCAAGGCGACGAUCUGUAACUGGUCUGAGAGGAUGAUCAGUCACACCGGAACUGAGACACGGUCCGGACUCCUACGGGAGGCAGCAGUGGGGAAUAUUGGACAAUGGGGGCAACCCUGAUCCAGCCAUGCCGCGUGUGUGAAGAAGGCCUUUUGGUUGUAAAGCACUUUAAGCAGGGAGGAGAGGCUAAUGGUUAAUACCCAUUAGAUUAGACGUUACCUGCAGAAUAAGCACCGGCUAACUCUGUG
rnacentral:rRNA from 1 species